AUUUUGUUUUGGACACCAAGCGGGAGUUGGCGGCGCCGGCUGUGGUGGCACAGACGAAAGGCAGGAAAAGGCUGGCUUGACGAGCGGGAGGAUCAGUCGGCUAAAUACUCAACCCACAACAAGGGAGCCUCGCAACCUACCGUUUAAGCAUCUAACCCAACCGCCCAGCUAGUUAACCCGAGCGGUCCGCCGUCAGCUCGGGUUCGGCCGGCCUCCGGCCCGCCCGCCGCAGCCGUGGUGGCAACCCCGGGAGGAGCGCUGGCGUCCAUCUCCUUCGAUUCUCGGGAUUUGAAGAUGGCUGCACAGUCAGCGCCGAAAGUUGUGCUAAAAAGCACCACCAAGAUGUCUCUAAAUGAGCGGUGAGGCAGCCAACAGCAACUUCAGCUCCUUCCUAAGAAAACAUUACUUAAAUUGGCCCUGGGGUCCAAUACAAAAAAGCCAGUUGUAAGCUAAAUGACAGAAGGCUACAGACUUCUGUUCUUAAUUGAUUGCAUCUAAUGUGGUACAAACAAAUUGGGCAGUUGUUUCAAAACCCCUUAUCAGUAGAUUUUUAUAUUAAGCUAUCUGACAUAUUGACCUGGUGGGAUAUAUUUUUUUUUAAAAGACUCCUCACACCUUCCCUUCGAUUUUUCUUUUUUUCCUAACAUUGAUACAGGGGUGGUGCAGCACGAUGGUAUGGUAUAUCCUGGCUGCAUUCGGCUUGCUAUCUAGUCCAAGGCCAGCAGUGUUGUGUCUGGCCUGUAAGAGGCAGGUAGCAAGCCAAAACUAUGUCCAAAGGCCCCUGAAUGUCAUUCUUGGGCCUUGUAAGAGGCACUUGCUUUGCUCCAUUUCACUUUCUUCCCAUUCUGCUUUUUAGUUUGUUGUGUUUUGAAAUCUUUCAACAGCUGUGUGUUUACUUCCAUUAAACUUAUUCAUUACAGGAAUGUUAGAAUGCCCUUUUAGGCUCGUAAGUGACUUAACUAAUUUAACCUUCUCAGAGAAGUCCUGAGUCAGAAAGAAUGGUUAUUUGAGAUUUAAGAAAAGUUAAAGUAGUUAAAGACAGUUUU
rnacentral:lncRNA from 1 species